AGCAGCCGCGGUAAUUCCAGCUCCAAUAGCGUAUAUUAAAGUUGUUGCAGUUAAAAAGCUCGUAGUUGAAUUUCGGGGUUCAUCCGUUGGUCGGGCUUUUUUGGUCUGUACUGGCGUGAUGGAUUCCUACCUUCUGAAUAACCGGCAUGUCAUUAAUUUGGUGCGCCGGGGAAGCAGGACUGUUACCUUGAAAAAUUAGAGUGCUUAAAGCAGGCUAUCGCCUGAAUACAUUAGCAUGGAAUAAUGAAAUAGGACGGCAUGGUUCUAUUUUGUUGGUUUCUAGGAUCACCGUAAUGAUUAAUAGGGAUAGUUGGGGGCAUUAGUAUUCAAUUGUCAGAGGUGAAAUUCUUGGAUUUAUUGAAGACUAACUUCUGCGAAAGCAUUUGCCAAGGAUGUUUUCAUUAAUCAAGAACGAAAGUUAGGGGAUCGAAGACGAUCAGAUACCGUCGU
rnacentral:rRNA from 1 species